CUAACAAGGAUUCCCCUAGUAACGGCGAGUGAAGCGGGAAGAGCUCAAAUUUGUAAUCUGGCGGUCUAUGGCCGUCCGAGUUGUAGUCUGGAGAAGCGUUUUCUGCGUCGGACCGUGUACAAGUCCCUUGGAACAGGGCGUCACAGAGGGUGAGAAUCCCGUCUUUGACACGGACUGCCGGCGCUUUGUGAUGCGCUCUCGAAGAGUCGAGUUGUUUGGGAAUGCAGCUCAAAACGGGUGGUAAAUUCCAUCUAAAGCUAAAUAUUGGCGAAAGACCGAUAGCGAACAAGUACCGUGAGGGAAAGAUGAAAAGCACUUUGGAAAGAGAGUUAAACAGUACGUGAAAUUGUUGAAAGGGAAACGCUUGAAGUCAGUCGCGUCUUCCGGGACUCAGCCUUGCGUUUCUCGCCUGGCGUACUUCCCGGGACGACGGGCCAGCAUCGGUUUCGACCGUCGGAAAAAGGCUUUGGGAAUGUGGCACCUUCGGGUGUGUUAUAGCCCUCGGUCGUAUACGACGGUUGGGAUCGAGGACCGCAGCACGCCUUUAUGGUCGGGGUUCGCCCACGUAACGUGCUUAGGAUGCUGGCGUAAUGGCUUUAAGCGA
rnacentral:rRNA from 1 species